ensembl:snRNA RNU1-70P RNA, U1 small nuclear 70, pseudogene
UUACUAACCUGGCAGAGGAGCUAUCACAAUCACAAAGGUGGUUUUUCCAGGGCACGGCUCAUCCAUUACACUCCAGAUGUGCUGACCCCUGCCAUUUCCCCAAAUGUGGGAAACCCAACUGCACAGUUUGUAGUAGUGGGUGACUGUGUUCAUGCGCUCCCCUG